UUCGUAAAAUAUUGUUCAAGGUAGUCCAUCCGUUAACAUUCCAAUGAUCUAUUGAAAACAAAUAUCUUAGGGGAUGGGAAGCCCCUCAGUAUGUAAUAGGUCUGUCCACCCCAUGUCCUUGUUCGCGUUGUCCCUCUGGUUGGUCUCGUUUCAUGACCCGUCCGCUUCCCGUGAUAAAAUAGUCCUUUCCUCCUGGGAUUUCCCUCAGCAGCGUCUUGACGUUCAAUUCAAUAAGGCAAUCGGUGUGGGACUCGGCUGAUCGAAGGAAGAAUGUCAUGAUCAGGGUAGCCUCGCAGCUUUAGUUUUUCCGUAACAGGGCCACUUUCUCCUCCACGGACUGACACUCAACCUUCGCGACUCCGGGACUUUUACCUCUCUCCCUCAUCUUCUCAACUGCAAUCACCUGUUUCGCAGCCUAGGCCUACCGAUAUCAGCUGGUUCACUUUGGAGAUUAGGUUAUUGUUUUCAUUGGCUGGCAGUCCUGCCACUAUGAUAGACACGUCUGGGUCGAACUUAUUGUUUUGGCUUCACCUAUUUUCCCAGAUUCUAGGGAUUCUACACGGGUCUCCAGACGUCCAACUUCAAGAGCUAUGUGGUCUUGUAGCUGCUUGUUAUUAUUCUCCAGAAUACUGCCUCAGAAGAUUACACCAUCUUCCAGACGGUCGAGGAACAGGGUAAUCUACUCCACCAACACCACGACCAGCUGGCUCUACUGGUUAUGACCAUGAAGGAAGUCCUGCAUGUUCUUCACCGCCUCAACACCACCAGCGAGGUUCUCCAUACCUCUGAUGGAGGGCCUCCUACCAUGGGUUGUCACAGUGAGCCAGUCCGCCAGCCUACCCAGCCGUCCGCCCAGGUCAAAGAUGCCCGGCUGUCCCUUCCGGAGAAGUAUGACAGCACUCCAUUUAAAUGCCGUGGCUUCCUACUCCAGUGCUCCCUCUAUUUUGCUUAUCAGAAGGGAGCCCCCACCACCGAGAGGUCCAAGGUUGCCACGGUCAUUUCUCUGCUGACCGGACGGGUGUUGGUGUGGGCAACAGCCAUCUGGAAGAGAGGAGGAGCUGGGUACCGAUGAAAGGUUCAUGGCUCUGUUCAGGGCGGUCUUCGAACAUCCUCCAGAGGGCAGAAAGGGAGGCGAGCGACUUUUCCAACUCCAGCAGGGUGCCCAGACCACUGUGGAGUACGCCCUCACCUUUCGGACUGUGGCAGCCUCCAGUGGAUGGAAUGAGAUUGCGCUCCGCACUCAACUGCGCGAAGAGGUCCAGACGGAAUUGGCAUGUCGGGAUGACAACAUAUCCUUGGACGCUCUCAUCGUGAUGGCCAUCCAUCUGGAUAACCUUCUUCGGGAGCGUCCACCUCGCCACUUACCUGACUCCUUUGGCUCUCCUGAGGCAGAGCCUGAACCCAUGGCGGUAGGGGCCACACACUUCUCCGCAACGUCGCCGGAGACAGCUAGGGCUCUGUCCCUAUUGCGGCCAGGAGAUGCACCAGCUUCAGUGGUGUCCGGUGCGUCUCCCAACCCGGGGUCGACUAGAGCAGAGGGGCAGCCCCGUGACCUUCAGUCUCCCAGGGUAGGCGUGAAUAUUCCAUUAUCAUCGUUUUCCGCCUAACCCUUUCUGGUUCCCAUUUCACUGGAUGACUAUCCCUCAAGUGUUGUCUCUUCAGCUCUAGUGGACUCCGGAGUCACGGGGAACUUUAUCGACCUGGCCCUCGCCUCCUCCCUGAACUAAACCUCAUACCCGCUCUCCUUUUCCUGUCCAAGCCCUGGAUAUUCGACCGUUGGGAUCCGGCACAAUUAUGAACGUCACAGCACCACUCACCUUCAUCGUGGAACCCAAGCACUAGGAAAGCCUUUCCUUCCUCAUCACCGCACCUGUACACAAACUCAUCCUCGGCCUCCCGUGGUUCCAACUUUGUAACCCCACCAUCUCCUGAUCAAAGAUGAGAAUCACCGCCUGGGGACCAGGAUGCCGGAGGACCUUAUUUCCCUCACCCUGUGGUUCCACAUCAGUGGAGGGUCCUGUGAGUGUCUUCCAGACCAUCAAUCGGUCCUCCCAUAUCAUUGGCCCUGUGUUUUGGGAUGUAGAUGUGAACAUCCGCCAGGCUCUGGAGAGAACUCGCUCCUGCCACCUGCCCUCUCGAGCGCAUCUACGUUCCCAAGGGGGUGAGAGAUCGGCUGUUGACCUGGGCACACACAUCCCUUGCCGCUGGACACCCAGGUAUCACAACACCAUCCAAUCCCUCUCCAAUAAAUACUGGUGGCCCACCUUGGCGCAGGACGUCCCCCACUAUGUCAACUCAUGUUCAGUUGCUGAGGUACUAUUCCAGCCCUAUGGCCUUCCUGGAGGACAUAGUUUCCACCGUGGUCUCCAAUUCACGUUGCGGUUCUGGGAAGCUUUUAUGGAGAAGCUGAGGGCCACGGUCAACCUCACAUCGGGGUACCGGCCUCAGUCUAACAAGGAGGUGGAGAGGACCAACCAGGAGCUGGGAAGGUCAACCAUGCUUUGAGUUUCAGGGAGGCAGGGCAGAGGGUCCAGCCUAACUUGAGUCGCUACACUGCAGCAAGUGUCAUCCGGACAUUUCGAAAUGAGGACAGGAUUGCUAGACGACCCUUCAAUGGAGGAAGAAACCGGCUGAUCACAGCAGAGCUGGAACAACACAUAGUGAAUAUGUUCAUUUCAAAGAACAGCAUACACUUACAACAACUGCAACAACACAACAUUCAGUAACAUAAAUAGGGUGAGUUUAUCCGCACUUGGCCGUCUCCUGAAACACCAUCAGAUUUGUAAGAAGCAGCUCUACAGAGUACCAUUUGAGUGACAUUCUGACAGAGUGAAACAACUGCGCUACGUACAAGUAAGAUAUACUAUCCAGCCCACUAGAUGGCAGCAGUGUAUGUGCAAAGUUUUAGACUGAUCCA